rnacentral:rRNA from 1 species
GUGGGGAAUAUUGGACAAUGGGCGAAAGCCUGAUCCAGCCAUGCCGCGUGUGUGAAGAAGGUCUUCGGAUUGUAAAGCACUUUAAGUUGGGAGGAAGGGCAGUAAGUUAAUACCUUGCUGUUUUGACGUUACCGACAGAAUAAGCACCGGCUAACUUCGUGCCAGCAGCCGCGGUAAUACGAAGGGUGCAAGCGUUAAUCGGAAUUACUGGGCGUAAAGCGCGCGUAGGUGGUUUUGUAAGUUGGAGGUGAAAUGCCCGGGCUCAACCUGGGAACUGCCACCAAAACUGCAUGACUAGAGUACGGUAGAGGGUAGUGGAAUUUCCUGUGUAGCGGUGAAAUGCGUAGAUAUAGGAAGGAACACCAGUGGCGAAGGCGACUACCUGGACUGAUACUGACACUGAGGUGCGAAAGCGUGGGGAGCAAACAGGAUUAGAUACCCGGGUAGUCC